UGGUCCUAGCCUUGUAAUCAAUUAUUACUUAAUUUACACAUGCAAGUCUCCGCACUCCUGUGAAAACGCCCUUAAAUCCCCAUUAGGGAUAAGGAGCUGGUAUCAGGCACAAUUUAUAGCCCAAGACACCUAGCUAUGCCACACCCACACGGGAAUUCAGCAGUGAUUAACAUUGAAAAUAAGCGACAGCUUGACUCAGUCAAAGUAAAAAGAGCCGGCUAAUCUGGUGCCAGCCGCCGCGGUUACACCACGUGGCUCAAAUUGAUUUCUUUCGGCGUAAAGCGUGAUUAAAGUCAUCAACAAAUUAUAGCCAAACUAAGAUUAAGCUGUGACACGCUUGUAUUUAGGAAAACCAAAACGAAAGUUGCUAUAAUUAAAACAACUUGAACCCACGACAGUUGGGACACAAACUGGGAUUAGAUACCCCACUAUGCCUAACCGUAAACUUUAAAUUACAUCUAUAUCGCCCGGGAACUACGAGCAAAGCUUAAAACCCAAAGGACUUGACGGUACCCCACAUCCACCUAGAGGAGCCUGUCCUAUAAUCGAUAACCCCCGUUCAACCUCACCAUUUUUAGCUUAUCAGCCUGUAUACCUCCGUCGUCAGCUUACCACGUGAGCGCCUUCCAGUGAGCUUAAUGCCCAUACGCCAACACGUCAGGUCAAGGUGCAGCAGAUAAAAUGGGAAGAGAUGGGCUACACUCUCUAUUCUAGAAAAUACGGAAGACUAUUUAUGAAACCUAGUCAGAAGGCGGAUUUAGUAGUAAAAAGAGAUAAGAGCGCUCUUUUUAACAUGGCACUGGGGUGUGUACACACCGCCCGUCACCCUCUUCAAAGCUAAUAUGAAGUUCUUAACACACUUAAGCACUACAGAAGAGGCAAGUCGUAACAUGGUAAGUAUACCGGAAGGUGUGCUUGGAAA
rnacentral:ncRNA from 1 species